rnacentral:rRNA from 1 species
GAUGAACGCUGGCGGCGUGCCUAAUACAUGCAAGUCGAGCGAACAGACGCGGAGCUUGCUCCUCUGACGUUAGCGGCGGACGGGUGAGUAACACGUGGAUAACCUACCUAUAAGACUGGGAUAACUUCGGGAAACCGGAGCUAAUACCGGAUAAUAUCUUGAACCGCAUGGUUCAAUAGUGAAAGACGGUUUUGCUGUCACUUAUAGAUGGAUCCGCGCCGCAUUAGCUAGUUGGUAGGGUAACGGCUUACCAAGGCAACGAUGCGUAGCCGACCUGAGAGGGGGGUCGGCCACACUGGAACUGAGACGCGGACCAGGCUCCUACGGGAGGCAGCAGUAGGGAAUCUUCCGCAAUGGGCGAAAGCCUGACGGAGCAACGCCGCGUGAGUGAUGAAGGUCUUCGGAUCGGAAAGCUCUGUUAUUAGGGAAGAACAAAUGUGUAAGUAACUAUGCACGUCUUGACGGUACCUAAUCAGAAAGCCACGGCUAACUACGUG